UCUUGGAUUUUUGUUCAUAACAGAGCUUUAGACCCGUGGUAUUCUUCGUCCGUGACCUACUAGUGAACCAGUAUUGAUGUAUUCAUUGAUAAAGACUUCAAAAGCACAUCUGUGAGUUACUCUAGAUAAGGGCUUUUUGAUGGGUGGCCAAAGAAAUAGGAGUUCUGAUCGUAGGAAUGAAGGUGAACUCAGUGCUUCUUCUAGUGUCUGAGACCGCACACUGUCUGCUUCCUGCAGCUCAGCUUAUUGCUGAAUGUCUUCAAUGUAGCGAGCACUCUUUAUUCACACAUACACACACAUAUUUGUUAAACAUGAUCACGUUGUACUAACACGCUCGCUCUUUCUUCUGAACUAAAAUAAGGGAUCGAACUUUAACAGUGUGGCUACGAUGAUUAUUAUUUUAAUGCUAGAACUGAACAUUGGGGUUGAAGUAAUUAGCAAGCUAGCUACUGAAAUUCUCUUUAUAAGGGAUGGUUUAAAAUGCUCAAAUGAUGAAAUAACUUAAGUAAUUGGUAAAAAAUAAUAACGGACGAUGCAAUUUACUGUCAUGUCUGCGACAUGAUCAUUGCUCAUCUGUACAUUGUCAUAUCAAUUCUGAAUUAAUCUGUCAUGCCAUCCUACAGCAUUUACACCGAUUUACAUGAUCAAAUCCCUCAGCACCUGAUUGGGUAGCUGAGCCUGCUGGGACUGAACACCUCCCUCUGCAACUGGAUCCAGGACUUCCUGACUGGGAGACGUCAGUCAGUCCUAAUCGGGAACAGCAUCUCCAACACCACCACCACAUUGAACACUGAAGCCCCCCAGAGCUGCAUGCUCAGUCCACUGCUGUUCACUCUGCUGACACAAUGCGCAGAUUGAACCAUAAUGUACGACCGUGGUGGGUCUCAUCAACAAGAACGACGAGUCAGCAUAGAGGAAGGAGGUGCAACAGCUAACUACCUGGUUUAGAGCCAACAACCUGUCUCUGAAUGUUGAUAAAACCAAAAACUAACCCUAACCCUAACAUAACCCUAUAUUAAAUUUUGUAAGCCAUUUGAUAUAUAUAUAUAUAUAUAUAUAAAGAAAAAGAAAAAAAAACAAAGGACAGGA